GAUGAAGAACGUAGCGAAAUGCGAUAAGUAAUGUGAAUUGCAGAAUUCAGUGAAUCAUCGAAUCUUUGAACGCAUCUUGCGCUCCUUGGUAUUCCGAGGAGCAUGCCUGUUUGAGUGUCAUUUUAACUUCUCAACCAUAUCGAAUUGUUUUUCGAGGUGGCUUGGACAUGGGGGUUUUUGCAGGCUUUAAUAAUGAAGUCGGCUCCUCUGAAAUGCAUUAGUGGUAUCUGAAGCAGAACUGCUACUAUUAGGUGUGAUAAUUAUCUAUGCCUCUUGGUAUACUGCAUGAACAGAUUGCGCUGCUUCCAACUUGUACACCCUUUGGUGUUUGACAAAUUUAACCUCAAAUCAGGUAGGACUACCCGCUGAACUUAAGCAUAUCAAUAAGCGGAGGA
rnacentral:misc_RNA from 1 species